rnacentral:rRNA from 1 species
AGCGAACGCUGGCGGCAGGCCUAACACAUGCAAGUCGAACGAACUCUUCGGAGUUAGUGGCGGACGGGUGAGUAACACGUGGGAACGUGCCUUUUGGUUCGGAAUCACUCAGGGAAACUUGUGCUAAUACCGAAUGUGCCCUUCGGGGGAAAGAUUUAUCGCCAUUAGAGCGGCCCGCGUCUGAUUAGCUAGUUGGUGAGGUAACGGCUCACCAAGGCGACGAUCAGUAGCUGGUCUGAGAGGAUGACCAGCCACACUGGGACUGAGGCACGGCCCAGACUCCUACGGGAAGCAGCAGUGGGGAAUCUUGCGCAAAGGGCGAAAGCGUGACGCAGCCACGCCGCGUGAAUGAGGAAGGUCUUAGGAUUGUAAAAUUCUUUCACCGGGGACGAUAAUGACGGUACCCGGAGAAGAAGCCCCGGCUAACUUCGUG